UACGGGGGGGGCAAGCGUUGUUCGGAAUUACUGGGCGUAAAGGGCGCGUAGGCGGCUUUUCAAGUCGGGCGUGAAAUCUCCGGGCUUAACCCGGAAGGGUCGUUCGAUACUGUUGAGCUAGAGUGUGGAAGAGGCAACUAGAAUUCCGUGUGUAGCGGUGAAAUGCGUAGAUAUACGGAGGAAUACCUGAGGCGAAGGCGGGUUGCUGGGCCAACACUGACGCUGAGGCGCGAAAGCCAGGGGGAGCAAAACGGGG
rnacentral:rRNA from 1 species